rnacentral:rRNA from 1 species
CCUACGGGUGGCUGCAGUGAGGAAUAUUGGUCAAUGGCCGUAAGGCUGAACCAGCCAAGUCGCGUGAAGGAAGAAGGAUCUAUGUUUUGUAAACUUCUUUUAUAGGGGAAUAAAGGUAUCCACGUGUGGAUAUUUGCAUGUACCCUAUGAAUAAGCAUCGGCUAACUCCGUGCCAGCAGCAGCGGUACUAAGGAGGAUGCGAGCGUUAACCGGAUUUAUUGGGUUUAAAGGGUGCGUAGGUUGUUUGUUAAGUCAGCGGUGAAAGUUUGUGGCUCAACCAUAGAAUUGCCGUUGAAACUGGAAGACUUGAGUGUGUUAGAGGUAGGCAGAAUGCGUGGUGUAGCGGUGAAAUGCAUAGAGAUCACGCAGAACUCCGAUUGCGAAGGCAGCUUACUAAGCCAUAACUGACGCUGAAGCGCGAAAGCGUGGGGAUCAAACAGGAUUAGAUACCCCUGUAGUC